CGCCCGACCCGCUGCCCUCCUGAGCAGUGGGCCCCAGGGUGUGGCUGCCCUGCCGGCACCUAGCUCCGGGCAUUGGACUGAUCCUUUUUGAAACUGUGUAUAUAGCUGUAAACCAACUCUCCU